GUUAAUUGUAUAAUAUCUUCUAGAGAAGCUUCUUAGAAGCUUCAUAGACGCUGCUUUGACUUUAUAGGAGUCUAUAGUUGACUUUUAGGUUAGAAACUUGGUCAACAAGUUAGCCAUGUGCCACACAUGUUGGAAGCUUAAAGAACAAGCUAACUACGUGGUCCAUCCAUAGAAAACUUGCCUUGCAAGCAAAGGCAUGUGGCCUAGAAAGUCAACAUAUAUUGGAGGUCUUAUAGAACAUCGCCACGUGGCUUCUAGUUAGAUAGUAUAUAUAGAGGCAAGAGUGAAGCCCUCUUCACUCUUGUCAACUCCUUUCUUGCUUCUAGUCUAGUUUCAAGGGUG
rnacentral:lncRNA from 1 species